rnacentral:rRNA from 1 species
UCGCGGUAUGGGAUGGGGUCGCGUCCUAUCAGCUUGACGGCGGGGUAACGGCCCACCGUGGCUUCGACGGGUAGCCGGCCUGAGAGGGCGACCGGCCACAUAGGGACUGAGAUACGGCCCAGACUCGUACGGGAGGCAGCAGUGGGGAAUAUUGCACCAUGAGCGCAAGCCUCAUGCAGCGACGCCGCGUCAGGGAUGGAGGCCUUCGGGUUGUAAACCUCUUUUAUCGGGGAGCAAGCGAGAGUGAGUUUACCCGUUGAAUAAGCACCGGCUAACUACGUGCCAGCAGCCGCGGUAAUACGUAGGGUGCAAGCGUUAUCCGGAAUUAUUGGGCGUAAAGGGCUCGUAGGCGGUUCGUCGCGUCCGGUGUGAAAGUCCAUCGCUUAACGGUGGAUCCGCGCCGGGUACGGGCGGG